rnacentral:lncRNA from 1 species
UUCUCAGAGACAUGCGGUAACAGACUACUGGUAGAAUGUAGUUCUCAGAGACAGAGACAGGAUAGUAACAGACUACUGGUAGAAUGUAGUUCUCAGAGACAGGAUAGUAACAGACUACUGGUAGAAUGUAGUUCUCAGAGACAGGAUAGUAACAGACUACUGGUAGAAUGUAGUUCUCAGAGACAGAGACAGGAUAGUAAUAGACUACUGGUAGAAUGUAGUUCUCAGAGACAGGAUAGUAACAGACUACUGGUAGAAUGUAGUUCUCAGAGACAGAGACAGGAUAGUAACAGACUACUGGUAGAAUGUAGUUCUCAGAGACAGAGACAGGAUAGUAACAGACUACUGGUAGAAUGUAGUUCUCAGAGACAGGAUAGUAACAGACUACUGGUAGAAUGUAGUUCUCAGAGACAGAGACAGGAUAGUAACAGACUACUGGUAGAAUGUAGUUCUCAGAGACAGGAUAGUAACAGACUACUGGUAGAAUGUAGUUCUCAGAGACAGAGACAGGAUAGUAACAGACUACUGGUAGAAUGUAGUUCUCAGAGACAGGAUAGUAACAGACUACUGGUAGAAUGUAGUUCUCAGAGACAGGAUAGUAACAGACUACUGGUAGAAUGUAGUUCUCAGAGACAGAGACAGGAUAGUAACAGACUACUGGUAGAAUGUAGUUCUCAGAGACAGAGACAGGAUAGUAACAGACUACUGGUAGAAUGUAGUUCUCAGAGACAGGAUAGUAACAGACUACUGUUAGAAUGUAGUUCUCAGAGACAGGAUAGUAACAGACUACUGGUAGAAUGUAGUUCUCAGAGACAGGAUAGUAACAGACUACUGGUAGAAUGUAGUUCUCAGAGACAGGAUAGUAACAGACUACUGUUAGAAUGUAGUUCUCAGAGACAGGAUAGUAACAGACUACUGGUAGAAUGUAGUUCUCAGAGACAGAGACAGGAUAGUAACAGACUACUGGUAGAAUGUAGUUCUCAGAGACAGGAUAGUAACAGACUACUGGUAGAAUGUAGUUCUCAGAGACAGAGACAGGAUAGUAACAGACUACUGUUAGAAUGUAGUUCUCAGAGACAGGAUAGUAACAGACUACUGGUAGAAUGUAGUUCUCAGAGACAGGAUAGUAACAGACUACUGGUAGAAUGUAGUUCUCAGAGACAGGAUAGUAACAGACUACUGGUAGAAUGUAGUUCUCAGAGACAGGAUAGUAACAGACUACUGGUAGAAUGUAGUUCUCAGAGACAGGAUAGUAACAGACUACUGGUAGAAUGUAGUUCUCAGAGACAGGAUAGUAACAGACUACUGGUAGAAUGUAGUUCUCAGAGACAGAGACAGGAUAGUAACAGACUACUGUUAGAAUGUAGUUCUCAGAGACAGGAUAGUAACAGACUACUGGUAGAAUGUAGUUCUCAGAGACAGGACAGUAACAGACUACUGGUAGAAUGUAGUUCUCAGAGACAGGAUAGUAACAGACUACUGUUAGAAUGUAGUUCUCAGAGACAGGAUAGUAACAGACUACUGGUAGAAUGUAGUUCUCAGAGACAGGAUAGUAACAGACUACUGGUAGAAUGUAGUUCUCAGAGACAGGAUAGUAACAGACUACUGGUAGAAUGUAGUUCUCAGAGACAGGAUAGUAACAGACUACUGGUAGAAUGUAGUUCUCAGAGACAGAGACAGGAUAGUAACAGACUACUGGUAGAAUGUAGUUCUCAGAGACAGGAUAGUAACAGACUACUGGUAGAAUGUAGUUCUCAGAGACAGGAUAGUAACAGACUACUGGUAGAAUGUAGUUCUCAGAGACAGGAUAGUAACAGACUACUGGUAGAAUGUAGUUCUCAGAGACAGAGACAGGAUAGUAACAGACUACUGGUAGAAUGUAGUUCUCAGAGACAGGAUAGUAACAGACUACUGGUAGAAUGUAGUUCUCCGAGACAGGAUAGUAACAGACUACUGUUAGAAUGUAGUUCUCAGAGACAGGAUAGUAACAGACUACUGGUAGAAUGUAGUUCUCAGAGACAGGAUAGUAACAGACUACUGGUAGAAUGUAGUUCUCAGAGACAGAGACAGGAUAGUAACAGACUACUGGUAGAAUGUAGUUCUCAGAGACAGGAUAGUAACAGACUACUGGUAGAAUGUAGUUCUCAGAGACAGGAUAGUAACAGACUACUGGUAGAAUGUAGUUCUCAGAGACAGGAUAGUAACAGACUACUGGUAGAAUGUAGUUCUCAGAGACAGGAUAGUAACAGACUACUGGUAGAAUGUAGUUCUCAGAGACAGGAUAGUAACAGACUACUGUUAGAAUGUAGUUCUCAGAGACAGGAUAGUAACAGACUACUGUUAGAAUGUAGUUCUCAGAGACAGGAUAGUAACAGACUACUGGUAGAAUGUAGUUCUCAGAGACAGAGACAGGAUAGUAACAGACUACUGGUAGAAUGUAGUUCUCAGAGACAGAGACAGGAUAGUAACAGACUACUGUUAGAAUGUAGUUCUCAGAGACAGGAUAGUAACAGACUACUGGUAGAAUGUAGUUCUCAGAGACAGAGACAGGAUAGUAACAGACUACUGGUAGAAUGUAGUUCUCAGAGACAGGAUAGUAACAGACUACUGGUAGAAUGUAGUUCUCAGAGACAGGAUAGUAACAGACUACUGGUAGAAUGUAGUUCUCAGAGACAGGACGGUAACAGACUACUGGUAGAAUGUAGUUCUCAGAGACAGGAUAGUAACAGACUACUGGUAGAAUGUAGUUCUCAGAGACAGGAUAGUAACAGACUACUGGUAGAAUGUAGUUCUCAGAGACAGGAUAGUAACAGACUACUGGUAGAAUGUAGUUCUCAGAGACAGGAUAGUAACAGACUACUGGUAGAAUGUAGUUCUCAGAGACAGGAUAGUAACAGACUACUGUUAGAAUGUAGUUCUCAGAGACAGGAUAGUAACAGACUACUGUUAGAAUGUAGUUCUCAGAGACAGGAUAGUAACAGACUACUGGUAGAAUGUAGUUCUCAGAGACAGAGACAGGAUAGUAACAGACUACUGGUAGAAUGUAGUUCUCAGAGACAGGAUAGUAACAGACUACUGGUAGAAUGUAGUUCUCAGAGACAGGAUAGUAACAGACUACUGGUAGAAUGUAGUUCUCAGAGACAGGAUAGUAACAGACUACUGGUAGAAUGUAGUUCUCAGAGACAGAGACAGGAUAGUAACAGACUACUGGUAGAAUGUAGUUCUCAGAGACAGGAUAGUAACAGACUACUGGUAGAAUGUAGUUCUCAGAGACAGAGACAGGAUAGUAACAGACUACUGGUAGAAUGUAGUUCUCAGAGACAGGAUAGUAACAGACUACUGGUAGAAUGUAGUUCUCAGAGACAGGAUAGUAACAGACUACUGGUAGAAUGUAGUUCUCAGAGACAGGAUAGUAACAGACUACUGGUAGAAUGUAGUUCUCAGAGACAGGAUAGUAACAGACUACUGGUAGAAUGUAGUUCUCAGAGACAGAGACAGGAUAGUAACAGACUACUGGUAGAAUGUAGUUCUCAGAGACAGGAUAGUAACAUACUACUGGUAGAAUGUAGUUCUCAGAGACAGGAUAGUAACAGACUACUGUUAGAAUGUAGUUCUCAGAGACAGGAUAGUAACAGACUACUGGUAGAAUGUAGUUCUCAGAGACAGGAUAGUAACAGACUACUGGUAGAAUGUAGUUCUCAGAGACAGGAUAGUAACAGACUACUGGUAGAAUGUAGUUCUCAGAGACAGGAUAGUAACAGACUACUGGUAGAAUGUAGUUCUCAGAGACAGGAUAGUAACAGACUACUGGUAGAAUGUAGUUCUCAGAGACAGGAUAGUAACAGACUACUGGUAGAAUGUAGUUCUCAGAGACAGGACGGUAACAGACUACUGUUAGAAUGUAGUUCUCAGAGACAGAGACAGGAUAGUAACAGACUACUGUUAGAAUGUAGUUCUCAGAGACAGGAUAGUAACAGACUACUGGUAGAAUGUAGUUCUCAGAGACAGGAUAGUAACAGACUACUGGUAGAAUGUAGUUCUCAGAGACAGGAUAGUAACAGACUACUGGUAGAAUGUAGUUCUCAGAGACAGAGACAGGAUAGUAACAGACUACUGGUAGAAUGUAGUUCUCAGAGACAGAGACAGGAUAGUAACAGACUACUGGUAGAAUGUAGUUCUCAGAGACAGGAUAGUAACAGACUACUGGUAGAAUGUAGUUCUCAGAGACAGGAUAGUAACAGACUACUGGUAGAAUGUAGUUCUCAGAGACAGGAUAGUAACAGACUACUGGUAGAAUGUAGUUCUCAGAGACAGGAUAUUAACAGACUACUGGUAGAAUGUAGUUCUCAGAGACAGGAUAGUAACAGACUACUGGUAGAAUGUAGUUCUCAGAGACAGGAUAGUAACAGACUACUGGUAGAAUGUAGUUCUCAGAGACAGGAUAGUAACAGACUACUGGUAGAAUGUAGUUCUCAGAGACAGGAUAGUAACAGACUACUGGUAGAAUGUAGUUCUCAGAGACAGGACAGUAACAGACUACUGGUAGAAUGUAGUUCUCAGAGACAGGAUAGUAACAGACUACUGGUAGAAUGUAGUUCUCAGAGACAGGAUAGUAACAGACUACUGGUAGAAUGUAGUUCUCAGAGACAGGAUAGUAACAGACUACUGGUAGAAUGUAGUUCUCAGAGACAGGACGGUAACAGACUACUGGUAGAAUGUAGUUCUCAGAGACAGGAUAGUAACAGACUACUGGUAGAAUGUAGUUCUCAGAGACAGAGACAGGAUAGUAACAGACUACUGGUAGAAUGUAGUUCUCAGAGACAGGAUAGUAACAGACUACUGGUAGAAUGUAGUUCUCAGAGACAGGAUAGUAACAGACUACUGGUAGAAUGUAGUUCUCAGAGACAGGAUAGUAACAGACUACUGGUAGAAUGUAGUUCUCAGAGACAGAGACAGGAUAGUAACAGACUACUGGUAGAAUGUAGUUCUCAGAGACAGGAUAGUAACAUACUACUGGUAGAAUGUAGUUCUCAGAGACAGGAUAGUAACAGACUACUGUUAGAAUGUAGUUCUCAGAGACAGGAUAGUAACAGACUACUGGUAGAAUGUAGUUCUCAGAGACAGGAUAGUAACAGACUACUGGUAGAAUGUAGUUCUCAGAGACAGGAUAGUAACAGACUACUGGUAGAAUGUAGUUCUCAGAGACAGGAUAGUAACAGACUACUGGUAGAAUGUAGUUCUCAGAGACAGGAUAGUAACAGACUACUGGUAGAAUGUAGUUCUCAGAGACAGGAUAGUAACAGACUACUGGUAGAAUGUAGUUCUCAGAGACAGGACGGUAACAGACUACUGUUAGAAUGUAGUUCUCAGAGACAGAGACAGGAUAGUAACAGACUACUGUUAGAAUGUAGUUCUCAGAGACAGGAUAGUAACAGACUACUGGUAGAAUGUAGUUCUCAGAGACAGGAUAGUAACAGACUACUGGUAGAAUGUAGUUCUCAGAGACAGGAUAGUAACAGACUACUGGUAGAAAGUAGUUCUCAGAGACAGAGACAGGAUAGUAACAGACUACUGGUAGAAUGUAGUUCUCAGAGACAGAGACAGGAUAGUAACAGACUACUGGUAGAAUGUAGUUCUCAGAGACAGGAUAGUAACAGACUACUGGUAGAAUGUAGUUCUCAGAGACAGGAUAGUAACAGACUACUGGUAGAAUGUAGUUCUCAGAGACAGGAUAGUAACAGACUACUGGUAGAAUGUAGUUCUCAGAGACAGGAUAUUAACAGACUACUGGUAGAAUGUAGUUCUCAGAGACAGGAUAGUAACAGACUACUGGUAGAAUGUAGUUCUCAGAGACAGGAUAGUAACAGACUACUGGUAGAAUGUAGUUCUCAGAGACAGGAUAGUAACAGACUACUGGUAGAAUGUAGUUCUCAGAGACAGGAUAGUAACAGACUACUGGUAGAAUGUAGUUCUCAGAGACAGGACAGUAACAGACUACUGGUAGAAUGUAGUUCUCAGAGACAGGAUAGUAACAGACUACUGGUAGAAUGUAGUUCUCAGAGACAGGAUAGUAACAGACUACUGGUAGAAUGUAGUUCUCAGAGACAGGAUAGUAACAGACUACUGGUAGAAUGUAGUUCUCAGAGACAGGACGGUAACAGACUACUGGUAGAAUGUAGUUCUCAGAGACAGGAUAGUAACAGACUACUGGUAGAAUGUAGUUCUCAGAGACAGAGACAGGAUAGUAACAGACUACUGGUAGAAUGUAGUUCUCAGAGACAGGAUAGUAACAGACUACUGGUAGAAUGUAGUUCUCAGAGACAGGAUAGUAACAGACUACUGGUAGAAUGUAGUUCUCAGAGACAGGAUAGUAACAGACUACUGGUAGAAUGUAGUUCUCAGAGACAGAGACAGGAUAGUAACAGACUACUGGUAGAAUGUAGUUCUCAGAGACAGGAUAGUAACAUACUACUGGUAGAAUGUAGUUCUCAGAGACAGGAUAGUAACAGACUACUGUUAGAAUGUAGUUCUCAGAGACAGGAUAGUAACAGACUACUGGUAGAAUGUAGUUCUCAGAGACAGGAUAGUAACAGACUACUGGUAGAAUGUAGUUCUCAGAGACAGGAUAGUAACAGACUACUGGUAGAAUGUAGUUCUCAGAGACAGGAUAGUAACAGACUACUGGUAGAAUGUAGUUCUCAGAGACAGGAUAGUAACAGACUACUGGUAGAAUGUAGUUCUCAGAGACAGGAUAGUAACAGACUACUGGUAGAAUGUAGUUCUCAGAGACAGGACGGUAACAGACUACUGUUAGAAUGUAGUUCUCAGAGACAGAGACAGGAUAGUAACAGACUACUGUUAGAAUGUAGUUCUCAGAGACAGGAUAGUAACAGACUACUGGUAGAAUGUAGUUCUCAGAGACAGGAUAGUAACAGACUACUGGUAGAAUGUAGUUCUCAGAGACAGGAUAGUAACAGACUACUGGUAGAAUGUAGUUCUCAGAGACAGAGACAGGAUAGUAACAGACUACUGGUAGAAUGUAGUUCUCAGAGACAGAGACAGGAUAGUAACAGACUACUGGUAGAAUGUAGUUCUCAGAGACAGGAUAGUAACAGACUACUGGUAGAAUGUAGUUCUCAGAGACAGGAUAGUAACAGACUACUGGUAGAAUGUAGUUCUCAGAGACAGGAUAGUAACAGACUACUGGUAGAAUGUAGUUCUCAGAGACAGGAUAUUAACAGACUACUGGUAGAAUGUAGUUCUCAGAGACAGGAUAGUAACAGACUACUGGUAGAAUGUAGUUCUCAGAGACAGGAUAGUAACAGACUACUGGUAGAAUGUAGUUCUCAGAGACAGGAUAGUAACAGACUACUGGUAGAAUGUAGUUCUCAGAGACAGGAUAGUAACAGACUACUGGUAGAAUGUAGUUCUCAGAGACAGGACAGUAACAGACUACUGGUAGAAUGUAGUUCUCAGAGACAGGAUAGUAACAGACUACUGGUAGAAUGUAGUUCUCAGAGACAGGAUAGUAACAGACUACUGGUAGAAUGUAGUUCUCAGAGACAGGAUAGUAACAGACUACUGGUAGAAUGUAGUUCUCAGAGACAGGACGGUAACAGACUACUGGUAGAAUGUAGUUCUCAGAGACAGGAUAGUAACAGACUACUGGUAGAAUGUAGUUCUCAGAGACAGAGACAGGAUAGUAACAGACUACUGGUAGAAUGUAGUUCUCAGAGACAGGAUAGUAACAGACUACUGGUAGAAUGUAGUUCUCAGAGACAGGAUAGUAACAGACUACUGGUAGAAUGUAGUUCUCAGAGACAGGAUAGUAACAGACUACUGGUAGAAUGUAGUUCUCAGAGACAGGAUAGUAACAGACUACUGGUAGAAUGUAGUUCUCAGAGACAGGAUAGUAACAGACUACUGGUAGAAUGUAGUUCUCAGAGACAGGAUAGUAACAGACUACUGGUAGAAUGUAGUUCUCAGAGACAGGAUAGUAACAGACUACUGGUAGAAUGUAGUUCUCAGAGACAGGAUAGUAACAGACUACUGGUAGAAUGUAGUUCUCAGAGACAGGAUAGUAACAGACUACUGGUAGUUCUGUACUGUUCUGUACUGAUCUUCUGA